CUGCCUCAGGGCAACUGUUGAGUUCCACAAAUGGUUGAUUUCCACUUUCCUUCUCUCCUCUUUCUUCCAAGGUGCCUUUCAACAACCACAGAAGGUAGCUGAGCAUCCCAUCCCCCGGAGACCCUGUCCAGGACAACUAGACCCCCAGGUUGGUCCUCACUGGAACACGAGGAGCUGUGGCCACAGCUGCAAAUGAAGGACAUCUUCUAGAAGUGAACAUUCUGAACAGUGUCACCACUACCGCCAAGCAGACACAAGGCAGCAUUGCCCUCCUUCAGAGAGACCCCCUUGGCUAUUUCCUUGAUGAUGUAGCAUUGGUGCAGCUUCUUCGCAUGAUUAGGAUCCAUUUUCUUCACCUUCACUGGAACUCUAACAAGAAACACCUGGAAUCCCACCAAACCCUCCUCCCUCUCAUCACCUUGCUGCUUCACCAACGUCCCCUCAGCACCCAGUUCCAUUCUGUCAGCACUACCUCCAGCUUAAUGAAGACUGACAACCAACCCAGGUGUCAUUUUCUUGAAUGAAGGGAACGGAGGCAUUUUAUACCCUGCCAUCACUCCUUGACCUCCCACUCUUAUUUCACGUGUGCUUUCCUUUUGUUUUGGCCAGAAUUCAUCAGAGAGCCGUGUGGUCUCUCCUCUUGCACAACAGUCACUCAUGGUCUUUUUUACCACCUGACCCUGAAGGUUAAUCUGUCAAGCGUGAUGUCCAGUGGAAAUGCCCAACCGAUGCUUGCCUUCUGGGGUUUCCGAGGCGGGGCCAAAUCAAGCUCAACACGUCAGCAUGACAGUGUGUACGGCCGGCUCAUCCCUGCCUGGCAGAACCAACUGUAACCUUUUCCGACAUUUUGCAAGCCAGUUAUGAAUGCGGCCACCAUUAAAAAUCAAAC